UACAGAGGAUGCAAGCGUUAUCCGGAAUGAUUGGGCGUAAAGCGUCUGUAGGUGGCUUUUUAAGUCCGCCGUCAAAUCCCAGGGCUCAACUCUGGACAGGCGGUGGAAACUACCAAGCUUGAGUACGGUAGGGGCAGAGGGAAUUUCCGGUGGAGCGGUGAAAUGCGUAGAGAUCGGAAAGAACACCAACGGCGAAGGCGAUCACCUGGGGUUGUUCUGACGCUGAGGAGCGAAAGCUAGGGGAGCAAACGGG
rnacentral:rRNA from 1 species